rnacentral:rRNA from 1 species
UACAGAGGGUGCAAGCGUUGUUCGGAAUUAUUGGGCGUAAAGCGCGUGUAGGCGGCUUUGCAAGUCGGGUGUGAAGCCCUCAGCUUAACUGAGGAAGUGCGCCCGAAACUGCUUGGCUUGAGUACCGGAGAGGAUGGUGGAAUUCCCAAGUGAGAGGUGAAAUUCGUAGAUAUGGGGAGGAACACCGGUGGCGAAGGCGACCAUCUGGACGG